UCUUCAUGGAGCCAUCAUCGUCUGAAGAGA
rnacentral:piRNA from 1 species